UAAGGAAUAUUGGACAAUGGACGCAAGUCUGAUCCAGCCAUGCCGCGUGAAGGAUGACUGCCCUCUGGGUUGUAAACUUCUUUUAUAGGGGAAGAAAGUUAUUUUUCUUAGGAUAUUUGACGGUACCCUAUGAAUAAGCACCGGCUAACUCCGUGCCAGCAGCCGCGGUAAUACGGAGGGUGCAAGCGUUAUCCGGAUUCACUGGGUUUAAAGGGUGCGUAGGCGGGUAUGUAAGUCAGUGGUGAAAUACCGGAGCUUAACUUCGGAACUGCCAUUGAUACUAUAUAUCUUGAAUAUUGUGGAGGUAAGCGGAAUAUGUCAUGUAGCGGUGAAAAUGCUUAGAGAUGACAUAGAACACCGAUUGCGAAGGCAGCUUGCUACGCAAAUAUUGACGCUGAGGCACGAAAGCGUGGGGAUCAAAACAGGAUUAGAUACCCUGGUAGUCCACGCCCUAAACGAUGAUUACUCGACAUUAGCGAUACACAGUUAAGUGUCUGAGCGAAAGCAUUAAGU
rnacentral:rRNA from 1 species